rnacentral:tRNA from 1 species
GGAGAGAUACCGAAGCGGUCAUAACGGAGCGGUCUUGAAAACCGUCGUGCCGAAAGGCACCGUGGGUUCGAAUCCCACUCUCUCCGCCA